GUAGAAGUGAGGAUCAGUAGAACUUUCUUCAGUGAGAUAGACAGAGCAAAUGUCUGUUAAGGAGUGGAAGUGAAGUGAAGUAGAAUUUCAUUCCAGGAUGAAGAUCCUCCUCCUCAUCAUCCUCUACCUGAUCUCAGGUCCGGUAGACUGCACUGAUGUGAUUGGUUACUCAGGAGGAAGUGUCACUAUCAUCUCUGAUAUACAGUGGUACAAACACAACAGUAAAUAUAUUUGCAAAGUGAAUGAAAAAGACUGCACUGAUAUAAUACGUGCUGACACCAAACGCUCUAAAGUUCAAGAUGGAAGAUUCAAGUUGUAUUCAAACACAGCAAACCUCUUCUUAGUAUUGAUCAGAAAGCUGAAGCCACAAGAUGCUGGAACGUAUAGAUUUGGACUGGGGGAUCAGAGCAACUCCACUGUGACCCUAAAAGUUCAUAAUAAUACAUCUUCAGGGGUGCCAAAAAUAAUGAAGGCUUAUCUUGGGCAGAAUAUCACCAUCACCUGUAACUAUCCAGUGGAGUAUGAGAAAAACACCAAAUAUGUCCUCAAAGUGGAUGAUGACAAUAAUAUUGAAGAAAUUCUUAAUACUAACAAAAAAUUUCAGAACAGCAGAUUCUCCAUUUCUGAUGACAGAAGUGCUAAAGUUUUCACUGUGAACAUCAGCAACGUGAGAGAAACUGAUGAAGUAUUUUAUUUAUUUGGUGUGUGGAAUGGAGGGGGGUCAGUCAGAUAUUACUCCUACUUUAGAGACAUGUGGCUACAUGUUACAGUCUUAUAUUUAGAUCCUAGCACAAACAUUCAUCCAACAACAACAGCCACCUACCUGAUGACCUCAGCAGCACCGAUAGAAACUCCAUCUGCAGUGUGUUUCAGUUCCUCUGUUAUCAUCAUCAGUGUGUGUGUCUGUGGGACUCUGCUGCUGAUCGGAGGAUUUGCACUGAUAAUGAUCUACAAACUGAGACACAAGAGAACACAAGAUAAUACGCCUUCAUUCAACAGUAAAGUGAAUAAACAAGUUGAUUUUUUUUCUUUAGGUAAAAUGAACCCCAAAUCCACAAUGACUGCACUGUACAUGUGAUGAUCUACACCCUGAAGUGAUAGAAUCCAUGAUUAUGGAGAAAUUCAGGCCUGCAGGACACAUCUAAGCAGGGACAGGAAGCCCACCUCCUCCCUCGGCUACGGACUACUGAAUUAGUUCUUAUUAAUAAAUGAUUAGGUUGUCAGUAAUGAGAAGGGGUCAAAAGGAUAUGUUCAUGUCCAGUUUGAGUCUGAGGAAGCAGCAAAUAAAGCGAUGAAGAAGCUCAUUGGAAAACAACUGAACACCAGCAAAGUGUUUAUUAAGUGCCUUAAGACCCACGAGGAGCGCAAGACUGAGGCGUGCAAGCAGCACAAGGAUGCAUAAAGGGUGGAUAAAAUGGACACUCUGCUGAAGGCGAGGGAAGCUGGUCACAAGCCGGAAACCCUGAAGAUGUCUUUCAAUGACGGCAACAAAAAUAAGAAGAAGAGAAAGAAGACAACAAAUAACAAAUAAAGAUUGUAGAUAAGUGGUUUGGAUUGUUGUCAUUUUAGUUAGAAAGUUUAAAGAGAAACUAUUUUAAAUGUUAAGUAUUACCUGAUAACUGAUUGUGGUUUAUUUGUAUAUAAGAAAGAAAGUUAAAUGUCUGUAAGGAAUACUAUCUUGAAGACCAACAAGUUCAUGUUUACAUGAAUUUUAAUUUAAAUAGUCCAUUACUGGACUAUAAUGUUACUAAUGUUGUUAACUGGUCUGUGGAUUCUCUGUGGGGAAACACGGUGUAAUAUCUUCUUUCACCUGAUGGUGGCAGCAGACUGUAUUAACACACUGCUAAAAUUCAAGAGCCUUUACUCUCUGGAUAUAAAUGCUAAUUAACUUACAGAAUAAUAUGUAGUCAUGGCUAGAGAUGAAAAGCAGGAGGGUAGAAGAAAAGAUUUUAAAAGGGCUGAAAACCACUGAGACUUGAAAAAAUGAAAAUGCUUCCUCUUUUUGUCUGAUCUUCUCUUAAUAUCUUCCAGAGUUGUUUGAAUUUUGGUGUGAUUUUCUUUUAUAAACAGUGUUGGUAUGGCUUCCAGUAAAGACGAGAAGUUUCAGUGUACCAGUGUCCAUAGAAACUACAAAAUAAAGUCUGUUACAGUGUGCCCCGUGUUAGGUUGUGCCCCACUCUCCCAUACUAUUCAUCACAUCAAAAACUCAACAGUAGAGCAGCUUUUAACUUUUAGAGAGUUCCUCGGUUUGUUGGAUAUUUGGGAAUUCUUGGAUAGUAGAUGCUGAUCUACUUGAAUCCCUACUUGAGGAAUUCAGUCACAAAAUCUAAAUUUUUUUACCCAGGCGUUUUUGACCAGUUGACCUUGAAAGUAGACUAAUAGUGGAACCUAUUAUUUUUAU